AAACUCUGGAGAACUCUUAAAUGAGUGCCGACGGUGCAAGGCAUCUGUGGCUAUCUGCGAAGCUCAUCACCGCUUCUUAGGUGAUAAUUCGUUGCACGGUAUGCUGAAUCUCUCAGGCAAAAGGACAGAGACG
rnacentral:ncRNA from 1 species